CAGGUGUUCCUGAGUUUUCCUCGUACCUUUCCGAAACUCAGAUGACUCUCCAGGAAACUUGGAUUUGGAAAUGAAUAAUUCACAUUGAGCUCAAUCAUCCCUUCCUCGGAGACACCUUCUUUGACAGAAUACUGUCCUCAGAGGCUGCUACCUUCCCCUGCACCGUGGUCCUCGGCAUCUUGCUAGAGUCGGCAUGCCAAGCAGCUGGGUUCUAAAGAAUCUCCACCUUAUAAGGACACUUCCAAGCCCCAACGUGGUCCUGACAAGUUACAUAGCACCAGCGUUCUAGAAACCGACUAUUAUAUUAGAUACGUAUGAGCAAUAUCAACGUGAAGGAACCAAAUUGUCAUUCCGGAUUCUCGUUCGGUCCAGUCCUGAGGGACCCAACACACAAAAUCCGGAACGAGUUGAACAGAAGAGACGUCUCCAGUGACCGUCCUUACCCUCCUACACCGACUCAUCCAUGCCAACGGAGCUCAAAGAUUCUCCAUGAUUUGUCUGAUUCGUUUGUUUGCUGGGAACCCCCUCGUCAACCCUCUGUUGCAUCUGACAGAGGGAACACAGGGCAGAGAUCACCUGCGGAUCUCGUUUCGAUGAGAUUUUGUUUCAGCUGUCUGGUCAAGAUUCAGAGAUUCUGCAUUUCUAAGAAGCUCCAAGGUGCUUGAGAAAUGUUACAAAGGACGAAAGAGUGAAAAGGGGAGAAUUUGAGAACUUUCCUAUCUCUCUCAAUCACUUCUAAGUUUCUACCACAAAGUGAAGCUGUGUUCAUCACAGCCCAAUUUCACAUUGUAAUUCUGCUGAGUUCACUGCUGAUUCUGUGUCUACCAAUUCAAGGAGCCUGUGACAUAAGUUGUCGGCUAUGGAGAUGUGUUUCGGCUAGCUAUAGCUGCGUAACAAACUACUGUGAAAUUCAGCAGCUUAAACAAAUAAAUCAGCAUUUAUUUGAUUGCUCACAAAUUAUGGGCCAGCUGGA